UUGCUACUCCCUCCGUCCGAAAAUACUUGUCAUCAAAAUGGACAAAAAGGGAUGUAUCUAGAACUAAAAUACAUCUAGAUACAUCCCCUUUUAUUCAUUUUGAUGACAAGUAUUUCCGGAUGGAGGGAGUACUAA
rnacentral:pre_miRNA from 1 species